UGGAGUUUCAGGGUGCUGGGUAGAGGGUCAGGUGCAGGCAGCAACAUGUUCGCUCAUGACAACAUCUGUCUCCACAGAGAGAGCUACCACCUGUGGCAGCGACCCCGGGAAUGUCCAGCGCCUGAGCUGUGAUGAUGGAGUGAUCAGUGUGCAGACAGCACUGUAUGGACAAGGAUACGGUGUGUCCUGCAUUGAGGGAAGACCUUCAGGAAUACUCAGCUUAAGACAGUGCUCUCAAGU